rnacentral:rRNA from 1 species
GGGUGAGUAACGCGUGGGUAACCAGCCUGUACAGGGGGAUAACAGCUGGAAACGGCUGCUAAUACCGCAUAAGCGCACGAGGAGACAUCUCCUUGUGUGAAAAACUCCGGUGGUACAGGAUGGGCCCGCGUCUGAUUAGCUGGUUGGCAGGGUAACGGCCUACCAAGGCAACGAUCAGUAGCCGGUCUGAGAGGAUGAACGGCCACAUUGGAACUGAGACACGGUCCAAACUCCUACGGGAGGCAGCAGUGGGGGAAUAUUGCACAAUGGGGGGAAACCCCCGAUGCAGCAACGCCGCGUGAGUGAAGAAGUAUUUCGGUAUGUAAAGCUCUAUCAGCAGGGAAGAUAAUGACGGUACCUGACUAAGAAGCUCCGGCUAAAUACGUGCCAGCAGCCGCGGUAAUACGUAUGGAGCAAAGCGUUAUCCGGAUUUACUGGGUGUAAAGGGUGCGUAGGUGGCAGUGCAAGUCAGAUGUGAAAGGCCGGGGCUCAACCCCGGAGCUGCAUUUGAAACUGCAUAGCUAGAGUACAGGAG